rnacentral:rRNA from 2 species
GACGAACCACCCAAACGUUAUUCGGAAUUACUGGGCUUAAAGCGUGCGUAGGCGGCCUUGAAAGUUAGGUGUGAAAUCCCACAGCUCAACUGUGGAACUGCGCUUAAAACUACAAGGCUAGAGGAAUAUAGAGGUGAGCAGAACAGAUGGUGGAGCGGUGAAAUGCGUUGAUAUCAUCUGGAAUACCGGAGGCGAAGGCGGCUCACUGGGUAUUUUCUGACGCUGAGGUACGAAAGCUAGGGGAGCGAACGGG